CGGACGGGUGAGUAACACGUGGAUAACCUACCUAUAAGACUGGGAUAACUUCGGGAAACCGGAGCUAAUACCGGAUAAUAUAUUGAACCGCAUGGUUCAAUAGUGAAAGACGGUUUUGCUGUCACUUAUAGAUGGAUCCGCGCCGCAUUAGCUAGUUGGUAAGGUAACGGCUUACCAAGGCAACGAUGCGUAGCCGACCUGAGAGGGUGAUCGGCCGCACUGGGACUGAGACACGGUCCAG
rnacentral:rRNA from 1 species